UUUUCUGCAAAUCCGUUUAGCCGAUUAACUUCAUCACUAAUUGCUCUAAUCAAGACUUUGUUUCAACUCAUUCAAUGGCUUCUUUUCACCUUCCUAUCAAUUUUUCUAUUUAUAGAUCUCUUUUCUUAUCUUAUGUCUCCAUCAAAAUCAUUCUCUCAGGAAAAAAAACUCAGACAUUCAUCCCGAUGGAACCCACCGGCAACUCCGCCGACUCCAGUGACCGCAAGACCGGCAAGAAGAUCGUCGCCUCCUCUGCUACUGUGAAACCAAAUGGGAAGUCCAUCGCUUCCUCCGCGAUUGUGAAGACUGAUGUUUCAUCUACCGUUCCGGUGAAACCAAACGUUGCUACAGCUCUCUCCUCCGCGCAUGCAGACCAAGUCAUGUUAUUCCGAGAUGUUUCAUUUGGCCCACGCGAAGCGGAGUUGAGGUUUCGUCUGAUUCACUUCUGGGAAGCUCGAAAUCCACUCACGAAUGGACGUACGUUUGAGAGAGAAUUAACAAAUUUGAAUUGAUAUUAUGUAAAUAUUAUCUACUGUUUUGUAGACGAAUUGAGUAUCAUUCAUUCGUUACCUGUUUGAGAUGGCAAUGCAAUAAGAUAAUUGAUUUCCCUGUCAUUUUCUCAGGACACUAUAUGUUUAUCUUUGAUUGAUUACCUCCCAAGCUUGAAUUUUUGUGUUGCGUUUUAGGCUAUGCUCAUGGUGAUUACUUCUAACUGAUUGAGUUCUCUAUGGUUUCUCUUUUUUUGUAUGGAAAUAAUCGACAUAUAUUAGCCUACGAUUUGAGAAACCAGCAAAGGUGCGUUUCUCCAUUGUACUUUAUAUGCUUUCAAUAUUGUAAUAGGGUAUGUGGUGGACAAGAUAAUUUAAUUUGUCUAAUAAUCUAUCUUGCAUGUUCAGUUGCUAUUCUCCUCGAUUCCUGAGAGCUUCUCGCCGUUAAACAGGUUAACUUAUUAACUCCAUUUUGGAUUUUAGAAACUGUAGUCCUUCUUUGCAGUUUGAUUUUUAUUUUAUUUUCUCUGUGGAGUUUGAUUCCUAUGAUGAGUUUUUGGUAGUCAAUGGGAUAUCCAAGCUCAUUCGUUCUACAUAUGUAGAAAAACGCAUCACCAUAUUCCAUUUGAUUUCUCCAUAAUUAUAUUUUUUAGUGUUUACUCUUAACAGUAUUUUUGUUGUUGAUUUGACUAGAUUUUAGUUGUUCUUACGAGGUUCUGACUGCAUCCAAUAAAAAAACUCAAGUUUUCGGAUAAACUAACAUGUUUCUUUGUUACUAUUGUGCUGUGACUUAUUUUCCAUCACAUGAUCUUAGUCGUUUCUUUAUCUACGGUGAGCUGAUUGAUUCAUGACUAUCCUACUACUUGUUUCACAUGAUCUUAGUCGCACACAGGUCGCGCACAAUAUACAUCGUUUACAUGAUAUCUAGCCUACAUCUUCAGGUUUAGUUAACAUGCUUCCCUGAAGUACUAAGUCUGUGUGUGGUUAGAGAAAAUGUUCAUUCUCUGUGUUGUUGACUACUUCCUGCUAUUCUGAGAUAUCUAAUUUUAGGAAAUGUGGAUCCAAUUUAAUAUAUACAACUUUAUUUGUGUUUGGUACAGAGCAGAGGAAGAAGCUUGGUAUAGGAAAACACUUUCUCUUAACCCUUAGUUUUCUCUGUAUCAAACUUCAAAAACAUUUUAUUAUGUGAUGAAUGCAUGAUAAAAAUCUAUGACUUUGUGUAGUGGUAUUAAUUUUUAUUCAAUUUUCUCUAUAUCUUUUGCUAUUUUCAUCUGUGGAAAGGUGGAAGCUAUAAGGUUGCAAAAUGAUAUUUAACUGUUAACGUCCGACUGUGACAGACCUGCAUGCAUAAGUGUAUUCGACAACCUUGCGGAGCUCCAAUGAGGAAUUAGUAAUGUCAGGUGUGGAACCAAAGGUUGCUGUAGCCACCAAUAUCAACCCUAAAUUAGUUGGAGGUAACCAUUUCUAAAACUCAUCUGUUAUUUUAAGCCAUCUUUUUUCUAAAUGCUACCCCAGGAACACAUUUCUUUUUUGACCAUGAGAGUGUAGCCAGCCAAAGUUAUCUCACAAAGUAAGGAUUAUAGCCUUUGUUACUGUGAAAAUAAUUUACAUGUCUUCAUGUUAUAAAUCAUGUACAGAGUUAGUCACCACAAGGUUGGUCUCUGUAGGAAGGUUCAUUGUCAACGUCUACGAAAUAUGGUGGUGUUAAGAAGAUCGAAACGUUAACACUGUCUUAGCUAAAUGCUUAUAUCAUAUCGCCCCACAGGCGACCACUUUCACGUAACCCAUAUGUUAGUGUGUUUCUUGACCGACAAUUACUUUCACUUUCUUAGUGCCAUAUCCAAAGUGUUCCUGAGAUAAAGUGCAUACGAGGAAAGAAAGCUUUCUUAUUACAUGGUAUCUCACCAGAAUCAAUCAAUUUGUUUCUACCGUAUUGCAAUGAGGACAUCAAGAUGAUCAAUGUGUAUGAGUAUAGGGAAAAGGGAACGCUUAAGGACCAUCGGAAUGACUCGGAUAACCCUAGGUUGAGCUGGAGACAGAAGCUUGAGAUAUGCGCUAAAGGGCUUCACUAUCUCCAUACAGGUUCCGCAAGAGCCACUAUACACUUCAUUUGAAGUCUGCUUCAGGCCAUUGAAGCUCUCGACCCGAACCACAAACUGGGUACUGGAACCACAAGAAGCAAACUCAAUCUGAAUAGAAAGACAACUUCAUAUCAUCAAACUGUUCCGUGAGUUUAACCAAAGGAAAAAUAUACAGAGCAAAUUUGAUGUAAUAAAAGCUCAAAGAGCAACUCCGAGACAACAAGAGUGAAUACCUUUUGGAUAGAUAGAGAAAGUUUCUUGCUUUCAUUUUUUGUUGUUGCAUUUAUUCAGAAUCUUUUGUUCUUUUUAUUCUCAGCAAAAUUUUCAGUAAACAAA